GACGAACGCUGGCGGCGUGCCUAAUACAUGCAAGUCGAACGAGUGGAGGACGGGUGAGUAAUGUAUCGGAACGUGCCCAGUAGCGGGGGAUAACUACGAGAAAGCGUAGCUAAUACAGCAUAUUAUUGGAGCGGCCGAUGUGGGAUUAGCUAGGUGGUGGGGUAACGGCUCACCAAGGCGACGAUCUCUAGCGGGCCUGAGGGGAGGAUCAGCCACACUGGGACUGAGACACGGUCCAGACUCCUACGGGAGGCAGCAGUGGGGAAUAUUGCGCAAUGGGCGCAAGCCUGAUGUAGCCAUGCCGCGUGUAUGAAGAAGGCCUUCGGGUUGUAAAGUACUUUCAGCGGGGAGGCGUUACCCGAAGAAGAAGCACCGGCUAACUCCGUGCCAGCAGCCGCGGUAAUAC
rnacentral:rRNA from 1 species